rnacentral:rRNA from 1 species
UACGGGGGGGGCAAGCGUUGUUCGGAAUUACUGGGCGUAAAGGGCUCGUAGGCGGCCAACUAAGUCAGACGUGAAAUCCCUCGGCUUAACCGGGGAACUGCGUCUGAUACUGGAUGGCUAGAGGUUGGGAGAGGGAUGCGGAAUUCCAGGUGUAGCGGUGAAAUGCGUAGAUAUCUGGAGGAACACCGGUGGCGAAGGCGGCAUCCUGGACCAACACUGACGCUGAGGAGCGAAAGCCAGGGGAGCAAACGGG